UGAACGCUGGCGGCAGGCCUAACACAUGCAAGUCGAGCGGUAGAGAGAAGCUUGCUUCUCUUGAGAGCGGCGGACGGGUGAGUAAUGCCUAGGAAUCUGCCUGGUAGUGGGGGAUAACGUUCGGAAACGGACGCUAAUACCGCAUACGUCCUACGGGAGAAAGCAGGGGACCUUCGGGCCUUGCGCUAUCAGAUGAGCCUAGGUCGGAUUAGCUAGUUGGUGGGGUAAUGGCUCACCAAGGCGACGAUCCGUAACUGGUCUGAGAGGAUGAUCAGUCACACUGGAACUGAGACACGGUCCAGACUCCUACGGGAGGCAGCAGUGGGGAAUAUUGGACAAUGGGCGAAAGCCUGAUCCAGCCAUGCCGCGUGUGUGAAGAAGGUCUUCGGAUUGUAAAGCACUUUAAGUUGGGAGGAAGGGUUGUAGAUUAAUACUCUGCAAUUUUGACGUUACCGACAGAAUAAGCACCGGCUAACUCUGUGCCAGCAGCCGCGGUAAUACAGAGGGUGCAAGCGUUAAUCGGAAUUACUGGGCGUAAAGCGCGCGUAGGUGGUUAGUUAAGUUGGAUGUGAAAUCCCCGGGCUCAACCUGGGAACUGCAUUCAAAACUGACUGACUAGAGUAUGGUAGAGGGUGGUGGAAUUUCCUGUGUAGCGGUGAAAUGCGUAGAUAUAGGAAGGAACACCAGUGGCGAAGGCGACCACCUGGACUGAUACUGACACUGAGGUGCGAAAGCGUGGGGAGCAAACAGGAUUAGAUACCC
rnacentral:rRNA from 1 species